rnacentral:rRNA from 1 species
UGNUGANCAUGUCAUUUAUUUGGCUUGGUUGCGAGAAGUUGAUUGAACCUUAUCAUUUAGAGGAAGGAGAAGUCGUAACAAGGUUUCCGUAGGUGAACCUGCGGAAGGAUCAUUG